rnacentral:rRNA from 1 species
UAUAAGCGGAGGAAAAGAAACUAACAAGGAUUCCCCUAGUAACGGCGAGUGAAGCGGGAUGAGCUCAAGCUUAAAAUCUCCGUGCAAUUUUUGCGCGGCGAAUUGUAGUCUAUAGAAGCGUGGUCAGUAUGGGCACUUGGGUUAAGUUCCUUGGAAGAGGACAGCAUGGAGGGUGAUACUCCCGUUCGUCCCCAAGUUGCUUGUGCGUACGACCCGUUUUCUUUGAGUCGCGUUGUUUGAGAAUGCAGCGCAAAGUAGGUGGUAAAUUCCAUCUAAAGCUAAAUAUUGGUGCGAGACCGAUAGCAUACAAGUACCGUGAGGGAAAGAUGAAAAGAACUUUGAAAAUAGAGUUAAAGAGUACCUGAAACUGCUGAAAGGUAACCAAAUCGUUUCCAGUGUCUAUAAUCCGUGGUAUAUUUCAUUGGCGAGUGUAUGCGUGCGUGUGCUGUUGCAGUGGCCUUUUUGGCUGCGCUCGGCGUGUGUGUUGUGUGUGCUUGCUGGUGCCCUGUGCUGUGGUGGGACGUCAAGGUCAGUUCGUAUGCUGCGGGAAAUGGCCACUGAGGAGGUAGGGCUUACGCUUGCGUUUGUCUGUUAUAUCUUGGUGGACGAGUAGUCGCGGUUGGGACUGAGGUGCCUACAACGUGCUUUUGAGUGGAUUUGGGUCUCCGUGUGCGCCGUGUGCGGAUAGCUUGCUAUGCGUGUGUGGCUGUGUAUGGAUUGAUGCGAGUCGUAACUUGUAGCCGUUCGGGACGUUGACGAAAUGGAGCGUGCA